GACGAACGCUGGCGGCGUGCCUAAUACAUGCAAGUCGAACGCAGUGGGGACGGGCGAGUAACACGUGGGUAACCUCCCAUCAGAGGGGAUAACACUUGGAAACAGGUGCUAAACCGAUACUGAUGGAUGGACCCGCGGUGCAUUAGCUAGUUGGUGAGGUAACGGCUCACCAAGGCCACGAUCCAUAGCCGGCCUGGGAGGGUGAUCGGCCACACUGGAACUGAGACACGGCCCAGACUCCUACGGGAGGCAGCAGUAGGGAAUCUUCGGCAAUGGGCGAAAGUCUGACCGAGCAACGCCGCGUGAGUGAAGAAGGUUUUCGGGUCGUAAAACACUGUUGUUAGAGAAGCGGUAUCUAACCAGGAAGCCACGGCUAACUACGGGCCAGCCGCCGCGGUAAUUC
rnacentral:rRNA from 1 species